rnacentral:tRNA from 1 species
GCGAGAGUGGCGGAAUCGGCAGACGCGCACGUUUGAGGGGCGUGUGUUAACAACGUACGGGUUCAAGUCCCGUCUCUCGCACCA